GGUGGGGCAGCCGGAGGAUGGCUUCCGUGGUCGCGUGGGUGAGGGGAGCUCCCCCUCCUGGGAUCCCUUUCUCCCCCAUCUUCCCUCCUUGGCCUCGACUCCGCGCUGAGACCUGGCUUCCCCCUCAGCUGCUCCUGUCGCCUCCCUCUGUGAAGGUGACAUGAGGCUCCCAUCUGGCCAACCACCUGCUGGCGUCUCUGCCCCUCUUGCAGUCCCAUCGUGCAGCCCCUGUGGAGGGUCACGCCGCCCCUGCAGCCCUUUAGGACCCCCAGGGGCCUGUGCUGCUGCUCCCAAGGCCGUUCUGCCUCCCCGCUUCCCGGGCCUGGGCGGCUGCUCUGUCCUGGGCCUGCAGAUGCGGGGGCCUCUGUGCUCACGGCCUGGCUGUGGGGCCUGUGGCCGCUCCUGCUGCUCCUCACAGCGGACCCUCCACCACAGCUGUGCACUUGGUGACUGCGGGAGGGGUGGUCGCGCUGGGCGUCCCAUGAGCAGAGUCUGUGUGGGGACACGUGGAUUCCCUCCCUUCUCCCGACUGUCCCCUUCCAGCCUAGCCAGAAGAGGUGGCCUCGGACAGCUCAGGGAGCAUGUGGAAUUCAACUUUACCUUCGUCUCCUCUCCAUGGAGCCCUCGGCUUAUCCUGAGAGGAGGAGAAAGAAAUGAGGUCGAGAAGACAGUGAGGCCAGAGCAUCUCAGAUGGAGAGCAUAUAAGGGAAGACCCUUCGAGGCUGUUGAGUCCGUUGUCCUGGGGAGUUCGGGGAGGGCUCCUUUCUGCGGCACGCCCGAGGGGCAAUCUUGGACAGCAGGAGAGCAAGACGGAAGGUUCUGCUUGUUCAGCAGGAGAGCGUGAAAGUUCCCCGUGAAAAUCGUUCACUGUUCUGUUUUGCACAUUGUGCUUGUGUCUGUAGAACCGAUUCCUACAAGUGAGACUGCUGGUCAGGGGGCGUGCUCAUGCACACGUUACAGGUGCCCCCCCCGCCCCCCCCCCCCCCCACACACACGUUGUGCUGGUAUGCAGUGUAGGGCAGUCAUGGGGAGACAGACUGCAGCUCAGACAAACCAAGGACUUUCUCCUGGUUAAAAUGUCUCACAACCGCUGAGACCGUCUGCGUCGGGGCAGGAAGUGUUCCAGAAGAGCACGGAUGACCAGGGUGUUGUGGAGGGGAUUACAACGUUGGGAAAUGCAGCUUCGUGUCAUGCUCUGGAGAACCCCUAGGACUCUCCAGUGUGGCAUGUCCCCCAGGGGUGACUCUAGGCCCUGAGCCCUUUCAAAUGCGAUACAUUUUCCUGGUGGGCCCAAGAGGGCUCAGGGGCUUCACAGCGUCAGCUGUUGGCCGCAUUCCCAUCCUCCUGCACCUGCAGACUUACAGCUGAGCUCGGCUUACUCUUUGCCCUAACAGGCGUGCCUACUGUGUCCUCAGCUGGGCUGGCCUGGCCCUGCUGCACCUCCCUUGUGGUCUUAGGUGAGACCUGACCUUGACCUGGCCUGACCUUUCCCCAUAGACCGUGAGGUCUUCCCUGGUGUCUGAAGCGGGGACACUAUUGCAGGGCCUGUGAGAGUUAACUCAUUUUGCUCUGGGACCUCAAUCCACUGACCGGCUGUGCUCAUCUGCCACUGCCCUCUGUGACCUGCCCACCACACAGCCUUUCUCCUCGACCCCUGGCAACAACCUCUUCAGAGCAGGGCCAUCACCUGCAAGGUGGUGGGGUGGCAGGCCUCACCCCUCGGGGGAUGCAUGCAGGAAUGGGGUACACAUCUAUUUAUAAUCUCUACUUCAUUGAUGAGAAAAUCAAGGUGAAGAGCCACAAUUCUGCCUAUGUCUCAUCAUGUCUGAGAUCUCUGGGUAGAACCAGGAUUCCCUACAAGGGGCUGGAAGUGCCUGGCUAUCAUAGUUCUGAUCCUACUGUGGGUCAUUAGUAAAUACUGGGUGAACGACCUUUGGUCAUUAUGUUUUUGUGACCCAGGAUUUUAGUGUACAAGAAAGCCAGUGUGGCCUUAGGGUCCUGGUCACUGAACACUGGACCUUUGUGAUUUGGUGCCACUUUCCAAACGUUGGCCGGGGAACCUGAACUGGGCUGGCUAUAUCAAGAUCAUAAUGGGGGCUAAUAAAAAAUACAGAUCUGGGGGCUCCAUCUCUGAAGAUCACAAUUUACAUAAAGUCUGGGAUGGGACCUUGGAAUCUAUAUUUUAAGCAAAUUUCCCAGAUACUUCUGAUGUCAGUUAAACUUAUCAACUAACUGGAUUGAGAAAGCAGAGAGAACAAAAGUGGCUAAUUAAAGAUUGGUAGGAGGGCGUCUGUAGAUUAUGAUGAUUUUUCUUGACUCUAUGUUAGAGGUUUGCCGACAGAAAGGAAAAAGAGAAGCACAAUUUUAUGGUGUCAGCCACACUGCUUGUGUGCUUUUGUUGGUGUUGUUUAAUUAAAGUUCACUGACUCUGAAGGGACUGAAUGCAAAUUCUUAGAUAAACUCCAUCUUUCAAAAGCACUGCCUACUAAAGCUGUGGUUCACACACCUCCCUACCCCCUUCACAUACAAUGUGUACCAAAUGAAUACGAUUUAAGGAGGGAAAACUUUCUGAUGAACAAGAAGAGGUCUUGGGUUUGCUUUUUGCAGGUGGAAACAUAGGACCUUGCCCUGGGCUUAACCCUCAGGUAUUUUUCUUGGAAAGGAUGGAUGAAAUGAGUACUUAAAAAAAAAAAAAAGUUUUAAAAGACUUAAAUUUUUUUAAAUCUUUAUUUUUGAGAGAGAGAUAGAGUGUGAGCAGGGGAGAG